AAGGCUUCUAUGUAAUAAGAAUAGAAUGAGUAUUUAUGGAGUUUUAAAUCCUAGUCUAAUUAGGAAUAAAUAUAAAAAAAGUCCUAAUAUAAAUAUGAAAAAUAUUUAAAGUCCUAAAGUAAACAAGAAUAAUGUUUUAAAAUCCUAAAUAAAUUAAGAAAUAUAAAUAAAACCUUUCUAAAAAAAAAAUCGAUUAAAUAUAGAAAUUCUUGUGAAAGUAGGAAAACGCAUGUCUUCGAUGUGGUCUUGAUUUGCACACUGUGUCAAUAUACGUAGGACUUUCAAAUAUGAACAACUAGUAUAUCAUGGAGCUUUCUUUCUUAUUUCCACCAUGUAAUGUGUUCUUUAUAUCUCAUGUCCGUAUUUUCAAUUUUCAAGUUCAAAAUUUUGAUACUUACUGCCACAAGUUAUGGUCAUUUGUACCUGCCUUUCAAUCCUGUCAUCCCCAAAUGCCUUGUAUUUGAAGAUGAGAAUGAA
rnacentral:misc_RNA from 1 species